rnacentral:rRNA from 1 species
UUCGCAAUGCCCGAAAGGGUGACGAAGCGACGCCGCGUGUGGGAAGAAGGCCUUCGGGUUGUAAACCACUGUCGGGAGUUAAGAAAUGCAAGAAUGUUAAUAGCGUUUUUGCUUGACUAAGGCUCCGGAGGAAGCCACGGCUAACUCUGUGCCAGCAGCCGCGGUAAUACAGAGGCGGCAAGCGUUGUUCGGAAUUAUUGGGCGUAAAGAGCACGUAGGCGGCUAUAUAAGUCGGUUGUGAAAGCCUUCCGCUCAACGGGAGAACAGCAUCCGAUACUGUAUGGCUUGAGUGUGGGAGGGGAGAGCGGAACUUCUGGUGGAGCGGUGAAAUGCGUAGAUAUCAGAAGGAACGCCGGCGGCGAAAGCGGCUCUCUGGCCCAUAACUGACGCUGAGUGUGCGAAAGCUAGGGGAGCAAACGGGAUUAGAUACCCCGGUAGUCCUAGCCGUAAAC